UACGAGAGGUCCAAACGUUAUUCGGAAUUACUGGGCGUAAAGGGCGCGUAGGCGGCCUACUAAGUCGGACGUGAAAUCCCUCGGCUCAACCGGGGAACUGCGUCCGAUACUGGUGGGCUCGAAUCCGGGAGAGGGAUGUGGAAUUCCAGGUGUAGCGGUGAAAUGCGUAGAUAUCUGGAGGAACACCGGUGGCGAAGGCGGCAUCCUGGACCGAUACUGACGCUGAGGAGCGAAAGCCAGGGGAGCAAACGGG
rnacentral:rRNA from 1 species